AAUGUCCUUAUUACGGGGUACACGAGUGUCCGACUGUAAAAAAUAAACCUGCAGGUACCAGCGGCAGCAACACUACCAGCUGUACUCCUGUACAAGACUUAUCGGACCACACGAUGCGUUUUCCACGUUAUAACCUAUUGCUAUAUUCUAACUUACAUAAUCGAUAUUUCAGUAUUUCACAUAAGGACAUAACAACUGACCGUCAUCUGAAACGACUACCAAUACAAUAAUAGCUUUGAAUGUAUUUUUUUCCGAGUUUUUUAAUAAUAAAUAAUUGUGAAUGAUUCAA